AAUCUGAUGAGAGUUAGAAAAGAAUAGGUCCUGUUUAUCCCAGAACUCUGCAGCCUGGACCCCAGACCACUCCCAGAGACCCAGGGGACCAGGCUGCUGGCCGUCAUCCCUCAGACCCAGAGCUCCAGACUCCAGACCUCUUCCUCCUCCUGACCCAGUGGUCCUCCUUAACCUUCCUCCCUCAGACCCACUAUUCCAGCCCUCCUCUCUCAGACACAGGGGUCCUAUCAAGCGGGCAGUAAUGCGGUGUUCUUCACUGUCACCAGCUGAAGGCAGCCAUGUGCUACCGCCGAGAACGCUCAUUGCACUUUGCCUGCUGACCCUCCCUACGAACCCGGAGAGGCAGCUGGGUCCUGAAGUUGAGGAAGACAGGGUAACAGCCCGUUCCUGCCGAUGAUGAUCACUGCAAUGGGAGAGGUCAGCAGAGGUCACUGGUCAAUAGAUCACAGACUCUCAAGCUACGCAGUGAUGGCGCAAGACUGAAAUCCCAGGACAGAGGCACAGAGUUCUCUGAGUUCGAGGGUAGCCUGGUCUGCAGAGCGAGUUCCAGGACAGCCAAGGCUACGCAGCAAAACCCUGCCUCGAAAAAACAAAGAUCACAGAUUCUCCAAAACUGCUGCUGCUAACACCAUCGGUAAGCACCGACUGAAGUGCUCUUGCCUGGAAAAAUCUUGGUAAUUUUGACAGACUGAAGCUUGCCUGGGAUUACAAAACCAGGUACAGCGACUCGGACACUCCACACGUAGAUAUAUGCCUUUUGUUUCAGGAUCUUGAGUCCCUUCCCCAGCCAAGACCCUGUGUCAAGUCCCAGAGAUCCUGGGCCCCCUAUCUAAAGGAACCCAAGAACGACUGGACCUGAAAACGUGCAGGCUGCACGCCCCAGCCACAACUUCCCCGCACCCACUCCACGCUGUGCUCCUCCCUUUACAGCCCUCCUCCCUGCUCCCCACUUCCGACCUCCCUGUUGAGGUACCUCCCGCACCCCACUCAUGUCUACCCACUCUGCCGCCCGUUAAAGCCCGGUACUCCUUUCCAAGGGGCCCCAUCCGCCUCUGUGUCCAGCAGCGGAACCCGAGGCACAGAGGAAUGACGCCAAGCCGGAAAGGCUGGACGCCAGGGCCGUCCGGAAGUGUGCCCCUAUCGGGUUCCCCAGAGCCCCCAGCGCCGGGCGGCCACGGACCCACCUGCCCUAGUACGGCUGCGGCCAUGAUCCGAGCGGCCGGUAACUGUGCCCGCUUGGGGCGCGGCCUGGUGAAAGACAUUCGGGCCCCGCCCUGCUCACGCCCCCUCCCGCAGAUGGCUGCUCUCUGCGGGCCUCACUUCAGCCAGGCGGCUCUGAGUGAUUGGACCUCAGGGACCCAGGCUCUGCCGUGAAGAACAGGAGCUGGAACUGUCCAAAACUGUCAUUCAUUCUCCCUCCUGGCCUCCACCCUGCCUUGCUCUUCCCCAGCCACACCCAGGCCCAGCCAGGCAUUUACCUUGGCUAUUGUUUUGCUUGUGAGUACUUGAGGACUGAACCCAUGGCCUCAUGAAUGUUAAGGAAGUGUCCUAACCACUGAGAAAAGAUCUCCAGACCUAAAGAACGAAAAAGAAAGAAAGAAAGAAAGAAAGAAAGAAAGAAAGAAAGAAAGAAAGAAAGAAAGAAAGGAAGAAAGGAAGAGAGAGAGAAAGAAAGAAAAAGGAAGGAAGGGAGAUAGACUGAUAGACAGAUAGAUAAAUAUUGCCGGGCAUGGUGACACCCGCCUUUAAUCCCAGCAUUUGGGAGAAAGGAGGAUCUCCUGUGAGUGCAAAGCCAUCCUGACCUACGAAAUGAGUUCCAGGCCAGCAAUGGCUAUAUAGUGAGACCCUUUCUCAAAACAAAACAAAUGAAGGGUUGGAAAGAAGGCUCAACAGUUAAAAACACUGGUUGCCCUUUCAGAGCAUUGAGUUCGGUUCCUAGUGCCCACACCGCAGCUCACAACUGUCUGCCACUCCAGUUCCAAGGGCUCCUAUGCCCUCUUCUGAAUUCCACUGUCCAUGCACAGGCCAUAUAUAUAUGUGCAAGCAAUACAAACGUACACAUAAAAAUUUUUUAUUUAUUUUAUUUAUUUAUUUUUUUUUUCGAGACAGGGUUUCUCUGUGUAGCACUGGCUGUCCUGAAACUAGCUCUGUAGACCAGGCUGGCAUUGAACUCAGGAGAUCAUCUGCUUCCCGGGUACUGGGAUAAAAGAUGUGUGCCACCACAGCUGGUUAUAAAAAGAUUUUCUAACAACAUAACCACACACACACACACACAAAGCAUCUUCAAAGGAACUGUGCUCCGUGGGGCAAAGCGUUCUAAGAGGAAACCUUCACUGUAAAUGUCAGUGGGUACAGAGAAGGUGCACUUUAAGCUGGGUCUGGUGGCACCCGCUUGUAAUCCCAGACCUCUGAAGGCUGAGGCAGGAGAUUUGCUGCAGAUAUGAAAGCAUCCUAAGUAAGAGAGCUACACUCUUGGCUCAAAGAAAUGAAACAAAAAGAACAGGAAUUUGGGGAAACAGGAUGAUAGGUGGGGGAUAAAAGACUCCUCACUCUGCACAGUGAGUUAACUUGUUCUUUAUAAUGCCGAGAUAAGCACGCACAAACAUACUGGGAGAGAAAGGGAAAUGUUAGACCACAGUGUCUGUAAUUCUGGACAUGUUCUCAGACCCUUUGGCCACCACUGCUCUCAGACCCAACACUGGAUCAACGUUCUUCAAGCUUCCAAGGCUACAGUAACCAAAUCACACGCUCUCCCCCACAGACAUUGCCUUUGUCUCCAUCACACCCCAUCUUCCGCUCUCGCCUGGUAAACCGGCCGUCCUCCCCUACGGCGGCCAAAAACUGUCGGGCGGCGCCGCAGCAGCAAACGCCCCCGCCGCGGCCAAUCAGCGGCUACCGCACACCUCUGCCUUGGCCAAUCCACAGCAGCCUUGCAGUUCCACCCCUUUACCUAGGGUGCGGGGAAGCUGCUGCACCCCGCGCCCAACCUGGGCAGUGUCCAGGGCUCCCGCCCCUCCCCCAGCGAACUUCCUCCCCCAGUGUCCUCCAGCCCUACACCAAGCAAUCCAAGUGCCAGCCUCCUCCCUCUGACCCAAGUGUGUCAACUCCACGCCGCCUCAGCGCUCAGGAAUCUUCUGUCCGCCGCCUCACUAUCGCACUGGCAAAGAGCAAAACUCUCCUCCCAGGAGGACGAAGAAUAAAAGCAGGCACUUUUGCGCCUCCUUCAUUAUUUGCCAAUUACCGCUUAAUUUAUUCUCCCCAGCAGGCCAUUUAAUUAGCAGCCAGGUGAAGCGGAACUCUUCGCCCUAGCGACAGGAGUUAACGCUCACCAGCUGCAAGGCCUCUGGGAGAUGUAGUUCUUUGGAGUCAGGACCGCGCGUGGCCUAACGGUAGCUGGGAAAGGCAAUGCUAGUGUGCACAGACGUGUAAAGAACAGGAAAUAAAUGUUUCCUUUCUAGGUGCA